GACAGAGGCCCCGAGCGUUAGGCGGAAUCACUGGGCUUAAAGCGCGUGUAGGCGGAGGGCUAAGUACCUUGUGAAAUCCCCGGGCUCAACCCGGGAACUGCUCGGUAUACUGGCCUUCUUGAGGCAUCUAGGGGCGAGCGGAACAAACGGUGGAGCGGUGAAAUGCGUAGAGUAUCGUUUGGAACGCCAACGGAGAAAUCAGCUCGCUGGGGAUGUCCUGACGCUGACGACGCGCAAA
rnacentral:rRNA from 1 species